rnacentral:rRNA from 1 species
GAUGAACGCUGGCGGCGUGCCUAAUACAUGCAAGUCGAGCGAAGCGGGGACGGGUGAGUAACACGUGGAUAACCUCCUAUAAGACUGGGAUAACUUCGGGAAACCGGAGCUAAACCGGAUACUUAUCGAUGGAUCCGCGCUGCUUUGGCUAGUUGGUAAGGUAACGGCUUACCAAGGCAACGAUGCAUAGCCGACCUGAGAGUGUGCUGGGCACAACUGGAACGAGGAAACGGGCCAAACUGCUAGGGGAGGUACCAGUGGGGAAUGUUCCGCAAGGGGCGAAGGCCUGACGGAGCAACGCCGCGUGAGUGAUGAAGGUCUUCGGAUGGUAAAACGCGGUUAUAGGGAAGCGGUACCUAAUCAGAAAGCCACGGCUAACUACGUGCCAGCCGCCGCGGUAAUAC